rnacentral:rRNA from 1 species
CCCUUAGAUGUUCUGGGCCGCACGCGCGCUACACUGACGAAUGCAACGAGCUUAUAACCUUGGCCGAAAGGUCUGGGUAAUCUCCAAAUUUCGUCGUGAUGGGGAUAGAUUAUUGCAAUUAUUAAUCUUCAACGAGGAAUGCCUAGUAAGCGCAAGUCAUCAGCUUGCGUUGAUUACGUCCCUGCCCUUUGUACACACCGCCCGUCGCACCUACCGAUUGAAUGGUCCGGUGAAGCCUCCGGAUUGGCGCGCACCUCGGUGCCGCCGAGAAGUUGGCUAAACCUUNCNAUUUAGNGGAAGGUGAANUCGUANCA